UACGAAGGGGGCUAGCGUUGCUCGGAAUGACUGGGCGUAAAGGGCGCGUAGGCGGCUUACAUAGUUAGGCGUGAAAUUCCUGGGCUCAACCUGGGGACUGCGUCUAAUACAUGUAGGCUUGAGUGUGAAAGAGGGUCGUGGAAUUUCCAGUGUAGAGGUGAAAUUCGUAGAGAUUGGAAAGAACACCGGUGGCGAAGGCGGCGACCUGGUUCAUUACCGACGCUGAGGCGCGAAAGAGUGGGGAGCAAACAGG
rnacentral:rRNA from 1 species